ensembl:lncRNA
UUUUUUUAAAGCUUUAGGUCAUUGCACUUGACUAAAAUGUUUUCAAUAAAUGAUUCCAAUGUCUAUAUAAAUUCUUCUUUUUACCGUCCAGAGGGCUGGGAAUCAGGCAGAGAAUUUGGUCUUAAAUUUUCAUGUGUAAGAACAUAAAAAGUCCUGAAUUUAGCUGAAGACACGUGUAGGAACCCCGAGUUCUUGACUCGUUAGACGUGUUGGACUGGAUGAGUUAUGGAUGAAUGUUUGUCCUGCAGCUCUGCAGAAGUCUGACAGCGACGUUCAAGCCAUGAAGAAGCAGGCGGAGAACCUGACGGUGGAGUAUGACCGCCUGCUGGAGGAGCACAGCAAACUGCUGGCGAGCAGCGACAAGAAAUCCGACUGAUUGGAAUGAAGGUUGCUUCCGUCUGUUUCCAGCCGGCUGCGUCUUCGUCAUCUCUCGUGUGUCAUGGACUCUGCUCAGCUGUGAUUGGAUGACGAGCCUGUCCGUCAGCCUUUUCUUCAUUCCCUGCUGCUGUUUGUUUUUCUGUUUUGGAAGUUUUGAUUGUGUUCCUGCAGCGUUCUUCUUCUUCUUCUUCUUCUUCUCUGCUGGACUUUGCUUCAUUCUGGCCUCCACUGAAACGGUUCCUGGA